ACUGCCAGCCGCAUACCUCACACUGUCAAUAUGAAGAUUUUUUUUGUUGUUAUAUUGUCACUUUUGUCAGGAUGUCACUGUGAAGUGCAACUUGCCCAGUCAGAGUCAGUGGUGAUAAAGCCGGGAGGGUCUCACAAACUGUCCUGCACAGCCUCUGGCUUCACAUUCAGUAGCACCUGGAUGUACUGGGUUAGACAGACUCCUGGGAAAGGAUUACAGUGGUUAUGUCACAUUCACCCUGAUGGGAGUAGCGCAUACUAUGCUGAUUCAGUUAAAGGAAGAUUCACCAUCUCCAGAGACAAUAAUAACAACAAGUUUUAUCUGCAAAUGAACAAUCUACAAACUGAAGACACUGCCGUGUAUUACUGUGCUAGAUACACACAGUGA